UACAGAGGGUGCAAACGUUGCUCGGAAUCACUGGGCGUAAAGGGCGUGUAGGCGGAUAGAUAAGUCGGGCGUGAAAUCCCCAGGCUCAACCUGGGAACUGCACUCGAAACUGUUUAUCUUGAGUGCCGGAGAGGAAAGCGGAAUUCCUGGUGUAGAGGUGAAAUUCGUAGAUAUCAGGAGGAACACCAGUGGCGAAGGCGGCUUUCUGGACGGUAACUGACGCUGAGACGCGAAAGCGUGGGGAGCAAACAGG
rnacentral:rRNA from 1 species